ACAGCAGUAGCCACGGGAAUACAGAGGGUGCGAGCGUUAAUCGGAUUUACUGGGCGUAAAGCGUGCGUAGGCGGCUUCUUAAGUCGGAUGUGAAAUCCCUGAGCUUAACUUAGGAAUUGCAUUCGAUACUGGGAAGCUAGAGUAUGGGAGAGGAUGGUAGAAUUCCAGGUGUAGCGGUGAAAUGCGUAGAGAUCUGGAGGAAUACCGAUGGCGAAGGCAGCCAUCUGGCCUAAUACUGACGCUGAGGUACGAAAGCAUGGGGAGCAAACAGGAUUAGAGACCCCUGUAGUCCCUGUCUCUUAUAC
rnacentral:rRNA from 1 species